AGCAGCCGCGGUAAUUCCAGCUCCAAUAGCGUAUAUUAAAGUUGUUGCAGUUAAAAAAGCUCGUAGUUGAAUUUCGGGAUCAAAUUGUCGGUCGUGCCUCGGUACGAACUGGUAUUAUUGGUUCCUCCCUUCUGAAG
rnacentral:rRNA from 1 species